AGAAUCAACGCUGGCGGCGUGCCUAACACAUGCAAGUCGCACGAGAAAGGGGAGCAAUCCCUGAGUACAGUGGCGCACGGGUGAGUAACACGUGAAUAAUCUACCUCCGAGUGGGGAAUAACUGAGAGAAAUCUUAGCUAAUACCGCAUAACACUUACGAGUCAAAGCAGCAAUGCGCUUGGAGAGGAGUUCGCGGCAGAUUAGUUAGUUGGCGGGGUAAUGGCCCACCAAGACGAUGAUCUGUAUCCGGCCUGAGAGGGCGCACGGACACACUGGAACUGAAACACGGUCCAGACUCCUACGGGAGGCAGCAGUGGGGAAUUUUGCGCAAUGGGGAACCCUGACGCAGCAACGCCGCGUGGAGGAUGAAGCCCCGUUGGGGUGUAAACUCCUUUCGAUCGGGAAGAUAAUGACGGUACCGAUAUAAGAAGCCCGGACUAACUUCGUGCCAGCAGCCGC
rnacentral:rRNA from 1 species